rnacentral:rRNA from 1 species
UCCAGAGGGGGCAAGCGUUGUUCGGAAUUACUGGGCGUAAAGGGCGCGUAGGCGGCCUUCUAAGUCGAACGUGAAAUCCCCGGGCUCAACCCGGGAACUGCGUCCGAUACUGAAAGGCUUGAAUCCGGGAGAGGGAUGCGGAAUUCCAGGUGUAGCGGUGAAAUGCGUAGAUAUCUGGAGGAACACCGGUGGCGAAGGCGGCAUCCUGGACCGGCAUUGACGCUGAGGCGCGAAAGCCAGGGGAGCAAACGGG